GACGAACGCUGGCGGCGUGCCUAAUACAUGCAAGUUGAGCGAUGAAGCUUGGUGCUUGCACCAAUUUGAAGAGCAGCGAACGGGUGAGUAACGCGUGGGGAAUCUGCCUUUGAGCGGGGGACAACAUUUGGAAACGAAUGCUAAUACCGCAUAAUAACUUUAAACAUAAGUUUUAAGUUUGAAAGAUGCAAUUGCAUCACUCAAAGAUGAUCCCGCGUUGUAUUAGCUAGUUGGUGAGGUAAAGGCUCACCAAGGCGAUGAUACAUAGCCGACCUGAGAGGGUGAUCGGCCACAUUGGGACUGAGACACGGCCCAAACUCCUACGGGAGGCAGCAGUAGGGAAUCUUCGGCAAUGGACGAAAGUCUGACCGAGCAACGCCGCGUGAGUGAAGAAGGGUUUCGGAUCGUAAAAAUCGGUUGGUAGAGAAGAACGUUGGUGAGAGUGGAAAGCUCAUCAAGUGACGGUAACUACCCAGAAAGGGACGGCUAACUACGUG
rnacentral:rRNA from 1 species